GCCUGGGUGACAGAGCGAGACUCUGUCUCGGGGGAAAAAAAAAAAGAGUAUUCUUUGGACAUCCUUCCACAGCAUAUCAUGAAUAAAUCUGCCUCAAUCUUUUUUUAACAGCUGCAUAGUUUUCCAUUGUUUGGGUACUCUAUCAUGUAUUUAAUUAAUCUCCCAAUUAAUAUACACUUAGGUUGAUUGUAGCUUUUACUCUUAUCUACAAUGCUAUGGGGGAAAGAUCUAGAUGUUUGUGCAUGUGUAUGUAUAUGUAUAUGUAAGUGUGUUAGUAUGGCUAUAGAAUGAGAGUCCUGUCACUGGACUUAAACUGGAAAUGCUGGGUUCAACUGGAAAUGCUGUUUUAAUUGUGACAGCCACCGGUGCCUCUGAAAAGUCCCUACGAAUUGACCCUUCCAACAACAGCAUAUAAGAGCUUUCACUUUUCUUUCCCUGCAUUCUGGCCAACUGGAGCCACUACUCAACCUUUUCAUUUUUGUCAGUCUGAAAUGAGCAGAGAGGUCCUCAUUGUUUGAUUUGCAUUUGAAAGCCUACCAUACACGGGCAUCUUCUCAUGUUGUUCUUAGCUCAGUGAGGAGGGCCUUAGAGACCAGACUUUGGAACCAGAUAGAGCUGGAUACCGUCCCAGCUCAGCCACUUGCCAACUGUGAUCUCUGGAGCCUCGGUUUAUCCAUCUGUAAAAUGAGCAUCCUUAGACUAAAUUCAUGGGAUUUACUGAGAAGGUGCAACAAAGCA
rnacentral:lncRNA from 10 species